rnacentral:ribozyme from 14 species
GAAAGAGAGAGAGAGAGAGAGAGAGAGAAAGAAGGUGUCGAAGAAAGGUGCGAACGCUAGUAAUUAUCUAUCUUCUAAUUCUUCUUAUUCCGUUUUUUUAUUUC